AACGAACGCUGGCGGCAUGCCUAACACAUGCAAGUCGAACGUACCCUUCGGGGUUAGUGGCGCACGGGUGCGUAACGCGUGGGAAUCUGCCCUUGGCUUCGGAAUAACAGUUAGAAAUGACUGCUAAUACCGGAUGAUGUCGCAAGACCAAAGAUUUAUCGGCCAGGGAUGAGCCCGCGUAGGAUUAGGUAGUUGGUGGGGUAAAGGCCUACCAAGCCGACGAUCCUUAGCUGGUCCGAGAGGAUGAUCAGCCACACUGGGACUGAGACGCGGCCCAGACUCCUACGGGAGGCAGCAGUGGGGAAUAUUGGACAAUGGGGGCAACCCUGAUCCAGCAAUGCCGCGUGAGUGAUGAAGGCCUUAGGGUUGUAAAGCUCUUUUACCCGGGAUGAUAAUGACAGUACCGGGAGAAUAAGCUCCGGCUAACUCCGUGCCAGCCGCCGCAGUAAGAC
rnacentral:rRNA from 1 species